rnacentral:rRNA from 1 species
GAUGAACGCUGGCGGCGUGCCUAAUACAUGCAAGUCGAGCGAACAGACGAGGAGCUUGCUCCUCUGACGUUAGCGGCGGACGGGUGAGUAACACGUGGAUAACCUACCUAUAAGACUGGGAUAACUUCGGGAAACCGGAGCUAAUACCGGAUAAUAUAUUGAACCGCAUGGUUCAAUAGUGAAAGACGGUUUUGCUGCCACUUAUAGAUGGAUCCGCGCCGCAUUAGCUAGUUGGUAAGGUAACGGCUUACCAAGGCAACGAUGCGUAGCCGACCUGAGAGGGUGAUCGGCCACACGGGAACUGAGACACGGUCCAGACUCCUACGGGAGGCAGCAGUAGGGAAUCUUCCGCGAUGGGCGAAAGCCUGACGGAGCAACGCCGCGUGAGUGAUGAAGGUCUUCGGAUCGUAAAACUCUGUUAUUAGGGAAGAACAAAUGUGUAAGUAACUAUGCACGUCUUGACGGUACCUAAUCAGAAAGCCACGGCUAACUACGUG